UAUACAAGGUGUUACGGUACAGAGUCAAUGUGGAGGCUAUAUACAGGGUGUUACGGUACAGAGUCAAUGUGGAGGCUAUAUACAGGGGGUACUGGUACAGAGUCAAUGUGGAGGCUAUAUACAGGGUGUUACGGUACAGAGUCAAUGUGGAGGCUAUAUACAGGUGGUACCAGUACAGAGUCAAUGUGGAGGCUAUAUACAGGUGGUACCAGUACAGAGUCAAUGUGGGGUCUAUAUACAGGUGGUACCAGUACAGAGUCAAUGUGGAGGCUAUAUACAGGGGGUACUGGUACAGAGUCAAUGUGGAGGCUAUAUACAGGGUGUUACGGUACAGAGUCAAUGUGGAGGCUAUAUACAGGGUGUUACGGAACAGAGUCAAUGUGGAGGCUAUAUACAGGGG
ensembl:lncRNA